rnacentral:tRNA from 1 species
UAUAUUUUAGUAUUAUGUAUAAAAAUUUUUGAUAUUUUAGGGAAUAAAUUUAAUUUAUUAAAUAUAA